CGGUUCUGCUGACGACCGGCGCACGGGUGAGUAACGCGUAUGCAACCUACCCAUAACAGGGGGAUAGCUUUCGGAAACGGAAAUUAAUACCCCAUAGUACCUUAAAUCCGCAUGGAUUAAAGGUUAAAACUCCGGUGGUUAUGGAUGGGCAUGCGUGCCAUUAGCUAGUUGGUGAGGUAACGGCUCACCAAGGCAACGAUGGCUAGGGGGUCUAAAAGGAUGGUCCCCCACACUGGUACUGAGACACGGACCAG
rnacentral:rRNA from 1 species